UACGGAGGGGGCUAGCGUUGUUUGGAAUUACUGGGCGUAAAGCGUGCGCAGGCGGCGCGUUAAGACAGGUGUGAAAGCCCCGAGCUUAACUUGGGAAUUGCGCUUGUGACUGGCGUGCUGGAGUGUGGCAGAGGGAGGUGGAAUUCCACGUGUAGCAGUGAAAUGCGUAGAGAUGUGGAGGAACACCGAUGGCGAAGGCAGCCUCCUGGGCCAGCACUGACGCUCAUGCACGAAAGCGUGGGGAGCAAACAGG
rnacentral:rRNA from 1 species